UCCGUGGAUUGCAUAUAUACAAUUCAUUAUAGUGACUACAAAAUAUCAGAGGUCUGAAAAGAGGUGACCUUGAGCUUUAUGGCAUAAGUGAAAAAUCCAUUAGCACAGAGGCUGUGAGAAUCUGUAUACUUAAUUUACCUUCAAAAAAGAUUUUGGAAUUAAAACUAUUAUUACAUGCCUAAAAUUGUUAGAAAUAUUAUUUCUGUACCUUUGUUAUUAAAACAAGACUAUAAAAUAAAGUUAAUGGGCAAUAGUUGCUCCAUUUCUUUUUCUAAUAAAUUUUAUUGCAGUGGUUAUAUUAAUAAUAAU
rnacentral:lncRNA from 1 species